rnacentral:rRNA from 1 species
GACGAACGCUGGCGGCGUGCCUAAUACAUGCAAGUCGAACGCUGAAGAGAGGAGCUUGCUCUUCUUGGAUGAGUUGCGAACGGGUGAGUAACGCGUAGGUAACCUGCCUGGUAGCGGGGGAUAACUAUUGGAAACGAUAGCUAAUACCGCAUAAAAUGGAUUAUCGCAUGAUAAUCCAUUGAAAGGAGCAAAUGCAUCACUAACAGAUGGACCUGCGUUGUGUUAGCUAGCUGGUGGGGUAACGGCUCACCAAGGCGACGAUACAUAGCCGACCUGAGAGGGUGCUCGGCCACACUGGGCCUGGGACACGGCCCAGAAUCCUACGGGAGGCAGCCGUAGGGAAUCUUCGGCAAUGGACGGAAGUCUGACCGAGCAACGCCGCGUGAGUGACGAAGGUUUUCGGAUCGUAAAGCUCUGUUGUACGAGAAGAACGAGUGUGAGAGUGGAAAGUUCACACUGUGACGGUAUCUUACCAGAAAGCGACGGCUAACUACGUG